GCCUUCGUGGUGUAGCGGUGAGCACACUCGACACGUAACUGAGAAGUCCGUGGUUCGAUUCCCGGCGAAGGCG
rfam:Stegodyphus mimosarum contig2212, whole genome shotgun sequence.